rnacentral:rRNA from 1 species
UACGUAGGGUGCGAGCGUUGUCCGGAAUUAUUGGGCGUAAAGGGCUCGUAGGCGGUUUGUCGCGUCGGGAGUGAAAUCCACUGGCUUAACUGGUGGCUUGCUUUCGAUACGGGCAGACUGGAGGUAUGUAGGGGAGAACGGAAUUCCUGGUGUAGCGGUGAAAUGCGCAGAUAUCAGGAGGAACACCGGUGGCGAAGGCGGUUCUCUGGGCAUGUCCUGACGCUGAGGAGCGAAAGCGUGGGGAGCGAACAGG